GGAUAGUUGUCCGAGUGGUUUAAGGAGUUGGUCUUGAAAACCAAUGUACAGAAAUGUACCAAAGGUUCGAAUCCUUUACUAUCCG
rnacentral:tRNA from 1 species